UCUCGAUAGCGUAAAAGUUAACUCAGUGGAGUUGGAACGUUUGCCUACGUUUGCGGCUAGGGGCGCUGUUCCAACUGCAUACGAAUUUGAGUUAACUUUUACGCUAUCGA
rnacentral:pre_miRNA from 9 species